rnacentral:rRNA from 2 species
GCCCAGCUUGCUGGGUGGAUUAGUGGCGAACGGGUGAGUAACACGUGAGUAACCUGCCCUUGACUCUGGGAUAAGCCUGGGAAACUGGGUCUAAUACCGGAUAUGACCUUCCAUCGCAUGGUGGUUGGUGGAAAGCUUUUGUGGUUUUGGAUGGACUCGCGGCCUAUCAGCUUGUUGGUGGGGUAAUGGCCUACCAAGGCGAUGACGGGUAGCCGGCCUGAGAGGGUGACCGGCCACACUGGGACUGAGACACGGCCCAGACUCCUACGGGAGGCAGCAGUGGGGAAUAUUGCACAAUGGGCGCAAGCCUGAUGCAGCGACGCCGCGUGAGGGAUGACGGCCUUCGGGUUGUAAACCUCUUUCAGUAGGGAAGAAGCGAAAGUGACGGUACCUGCAGAAGAAGCGCCGGCUAACUACGUGCCAGCAGCCGCGGUAAUACGUAGGGCGCAAGCGUUAUCCGGAAUUAUUGGGCGUAAAGAGCUCGUAGGCGGUUUGUCGCGUCUGCUGUGAAAGACCGGGGCUCAACUCCGGUUCUGCAGUGGGUACGGGCAGACUAGAGUGAUGUAGGGGAGACUGGAAUUCCUGGUGUAGCGGUGAAAUGCGCAGAUAUCAGGAGGAACACCGAUGGCGAAGGCAGGUCUCUGGGCAUUAACUGACGCUGAGGAGCGAAAGCAU